rnacentral:lncRNA from 1 species
GAGUCCCGGAGCGGUGAGCGGCGCCGUCGGGACCCUCGGCCUGCGCGGCAGGAAGAGGCGGCCACCGCGGAACCACGCACCGCUCAGGAGUGAGUUCGCCCGAGCCACGGAGUUCCUGUUCAGUCUUUUGCAGAAGACGCUGAGACAGAAAGGUCAAGUAACUCUCCUGAAGUCACACAGCUGUUUCAAAUGCAGGAUGUCUCACACCAGGACCGCGCCAGGACCAUGGUGUGGGGCAAGAGCUUCCUGUCACCCCACACCUCCCAGCAGGAAGGUCAGUCUGGGCCCCAGUCCCUGGUUCCUGGUGAGCUUCCCAUCACCCCCCACCUCCCUGCGUGCCCAGAUCGGCAUUGCAUCUGGAGCGUUCCGAAGAGAAACACAACCUGGGGGCGUUGGUAACAGCAGAGGCUUCUGCUGGUCCCACAGCCAACCCGCGGAGUGAGGUCUGGGCCAGGAGUGCUCUGCUCAGGACACCAGCACAUCCCUGACCCCAGCUGUGGCUGCCAGUGAGUUCCUGUGCCUUCCUCUCCUGAAGUCUGUGUCUUCUCCCAGGUCUGAUACCAUGUGGAAAGUCUGCUCCUGGGGCCAGCUGGAGGCCAUGUGGACUGGCCCUGAGUGCCCACUGUCUGGAUGCAGCCCUGACCCUACUGCCCGUGUGUGGGCUACUAGGUUCACCUGCACCUGACCCUCCUUCUAGGUUCGCCUGCACCUGACUCCCUGAUGUUCACACAGUGAUUUGGAGAGGGAGGCUGGGGAGGCGCAGGUCUGCAUGGCAGUGCCUCUCAGGGUCUGAGGCCCUUGGGCCAGGCCUCUCCUCUGACCUGGGCCAGCAGAGGGGCCUCCUUUCCCUUCCAAGAGCCCUCCCCUGUUCACCAGCAUCUCAUCAUGCUCAGGCCCACAGUGUGGUUAAGGAGGGGCAUGGGGCUGGCCCUGGGUUUCUGGCUGGGUGUGGGGGCCUACCCGGGGCCCAUGGUGUCUUCCAGAAAAGACCCUGACUGGGUCCAAAGCUGGAGGCACCCCUCUAUCCUCACUGUCCACUCCCUGAUGUUCUGGAGGUCCCUCCAGGGGCUGGGUGAGGAGGCCUUCCCCACCACCUCCUUGUCUUCCUGGGAAGCAGGCACCCGUUCAGAGGCCACGUUCCCACAGGACCAGGCUCCUCACCCCCAGCAUCACCCUUUUCCACGGGGUUGUGCCCCUUCCUUGGUCCUGUCCACUCACACACACCCGUGUCCGUGUCCAUGUUCACACCUGUUCUGUGUCCACUCCCACACACCUGUGUCCACUCCCACACCUGUGUCUCGUGUCCACUCGCUCACACCUGUACUGUCCGUGCCCACUCACACGUGUCCCGUGUCCACUCGCUCACACCCGUGUCUCAUGCCCGCUGGCUUACACCAGUCCCGUGUUCACUGGCGCACCUGUGUCCCAUGUCUUGUGUCUGCUCGCACAUCUGUGUGAUGUGUUCACUUGCUCACACGUGUCCUCCACUACCACACCUGUGUCCCAUGUCCACUCACACACCUGUCUUGGUCUGGGACACCUGGGCCCCACUCUCCCCUGCACUCCUCAGGCUGGCGGCAGAGGCCAGAGGAACGGAGUUCUGGCGCUGGAAUCAUCCUGAGCGAGGCAGGGACCUGGCGGUGUGGACUCCACCGCCCCUCCUCCGGCCCACCGAGCCCCGCCUGCCUGGGCCUUGGUGCCUCUGUCGCUGCUCCGGGUCCCCCUGCUGGGGCCCCUCCGCCGCUGGGCUGAGGCUGGAGCCUGCCUCCCGCCGCCAGAGGGAGGAGGUCAUAAAUAACCCUGGGGCUGCCAUGGAGCAGACGGUGACCCCAGACGUCCUGGGGGAGUGUGGGGGCGCCAGGGGCCGCUGCCCCAGCCCGCAUGCCGCCUCCGCCAUCCGGGAGUGCCUGCCCAGGCUCCCCAGCAUUUCUCUUAGAGCCCUUCUCAUCCAUCCCCUCAUCAAUCAAUCAACCAUUUAUUGAGCCCAGAUGUGGUACAGCCCCAGCCGGAGAUGACCCAGAGGUGGGGUGGGGAGGAGAGAGAUGGGGAAGCUGAGUCCGGGGCCACAGGUGCAGCCAGGAGGUGCAGGUGAGCAGCGCUCAGACCAGCCUGUCAGCCUCAGUCCUGAGCUUACUUCUGGUGAUGGAGGGAGAUAUACAGAAAAGAUCCUGCAGCCUGCAGGUGUGGCACAGCUGAUCUUGGGCCAAGGAUGCACAGCUGUGUGUGUGCCUGGCCACCGGCAAGGGCACGUGGGCUCAGAAGCACAGGUGUGCCCACACCCUGCGUGCCUGUGUGUGGCGCAGCAGCUCCCGACGCGCGCAGGACACACACACAGCACAGACAGACCCUCCCAUGGCCACACGGACAAAGAUGGCUUCACUAUAGACACCGGUGCAGACAGGAUGUGCACUGCUUUCCAAGGCCUGUGCGCAACACAGACUCAGGGCCUGUGGGCAUCAGCACCGCCCAGACCCAGGCACACGUGAUCCUCAGCCAAGGUGGCCUGUCCAGUCCUGGUGCUGUUGGAUGGAAAGGCUAACCUGGGAGGUCAGGGGCUGUGGUAUAUCAGCUGGGCUCCCUCGGACGCUCCUGCAGAAGUGGCCAGGACCUCAGGAACGCACCUGCUCCUGGUCAGACAGGAGGGGCUGCCGUGAUGCAACUUGCCCGUGCCUUUGGGUGCUGUGAGCUGGCUGCGUGCCACGUCGUUUCGAGGACGCAAGAAGGUGUUUCCAAGUC